rnacentral:rRNA from 1 species
CCUACGGGGGACAGCAGUGGGGAAUAUUGCACAAUGGGGGAAACACUGAUCCAGCGACGCCGCGUGAGGGAAGAAGUAUUUCGGUAUGUAAACUUCUAUCAGCCGGGGAGCAAAUGACGGUACCUGACUAAGAAGCCCCGGCUAACUACGUGCCAGCAGCCGCGGUAAUACGGAGGGGGCAGGCGUUAUCCGGAUUUACUGGGUGUAAAGGGAGCGUAGGCGGUUUAGCAAGUCAGAAGUGAAAGCCCGGGGCUCAACUCCGGGACUGCUUUUGAAACUGUUGAACUAGAUUGCAGGAGAGGUAAGCGGAAUUCCCAGUGUAGCGGUGAAAUGCAUAGAUAUCACGCAGAACCCCGAUUGCGAAGGCAGCAUGCCGGCUUCCGACUGACGCUGAAGCACGAAAGCGUGGGGAUCGAACAGGAUUAGAUACCCGGGUAGUC